rnacentral:rRNA from 1 species
GACGAACGCUGGCGGCGUGCUUAACACAUGCAAGUCGAACGGAAAGGCCCUGCUUUUGUGGGGUGCUCGAGUGGCGAACGGGUGAGUAACACGUGAGUAACCUGCCCUUGACUUUGGGAUAACUUCAGGAAACUGGGGCUAAUACCGGAUAGGAGCUCCUGCUGCAUGGUGGGGGUUGGAAAGUUUCGGCGGUUGGGGAUGGACUCGCGGCUUAUCAGCUUGUUGGUGGGGUAGUGGCUUACCAAGGCUUUGACGGGUAGCCGGCCUGAGAGGGUGACCGGCCACAUUGGGACUGAGAUACGGCCCAGACUCCUACGGGAGGCAGCAGCGGGGAAUAUUGCACAAUGGGCGGAAGCCUGAUGCAGCAACGCCGCGUGCGGGAUGACGGCCUUCGGGUUGUAAACCGCUUUCGCCUGUGACGAAGCGUGAGUGACGGUAAUGGGUAAAGAAGCACCGGCUAACUACGUGCCAGCAGCCGCGGUGAUACGUAGGGUGCGAGCGUUGUCCGGAUUUAUUGGGCGUAAAGGGCUCGUAGGUGGUUGAUCGCGUCGGAAGUGUAAUCUUGGGGCUUAACCCUGAGCGUGCUUUCGAUACGGGUUGACUUGAGGAAGGUAGGGGAGAAUGGAAUUCCUGGUGGAGCGGUGGAAUGCGCAGAUAUCAGGAGGAACACCAGUGGCGAAGGCGGUUCUCUGGGCCUUUCCUGACGCUGAGGAGCGAAAGCGUGGGGAGCGAACAGGCUUAGAUACCCUGGUAGUCCACGCUGUAAACGGUGGGUACUAGGUGUGGGGUCCAUUCCACGGGUUCCGUGCCGUAGCUAACGCUUUAAGUACCCCGCCUGGGGAGUACGGCCGCAAGGCUAAAACUCAAAGGAAUUGACGGGGCCCCGCACAAGCGGCGGAGCAUGCGGAUUAAUUCGAUGCAACGCGUAGAACCUUACCUGGGUUUGACAUGGAUCGGGAGUGCUCAGAGAUGGGUGUGCCUCUUUUGGGGUCGGUUCACAGGUGGUGCAUGGCUGUCGUCAGCUCGUGUCGUGAGAUGUUGGGUUAAGUCCCGCAACGAGCGCAACCCUUGUUCACUGUUGCCAGCACGUUAUGGUGGGGACUCAGUGGAGACCGCCGGGGUCAACUCGGAGGAAGGUGGGGAUGACGUCAAGUCAUCAUGCCCCUUAUGUCCAGGGCUUCACGCAUGCUACAAUGGCUGGUACAGAGAGUGGCGAGCCUGUGAGGGUGAGCGAAUCUCGGAAAGCCGGUCUCAGUUCGGAUUGGGGUCUGCAACUCGACCUCAUGAAGUCGGAGUCGCUAGUAAUCGCAGAUCAGCAACGCUGCGGUGAAUACGUUCCCGGGGCU